GAUGAAUGCUGGCGGCGUGCCUAAUACAUGCAAGUCGAGCGGUAAGGCCCUUCGGGGUACACGAGCGGCGGACGGCUGAGUAACGCGUGGGAACAUGCCCCAAAGUGAGGGAUAACGCACCGAAAGGUGUGCUAAUACCGCAUAUGGUCUUCGGAUUAAAGGAUUUAUCCGCUUUGGGAGUGGCCCGCGUACGAUUAGAUUGUUGGUGAGGUAACGGCUCACCAAGUCGACGAUCGUUAACUGGUCUGAGAGGAUGAUCAGUCAGACUGGAACUGAGACACGGUCCAGACUCCUACGGGAGGCAGCAGUAAGGAAUCUUCCACAAUGGGCGAAAGCCUGAUGGAGCAACGCCGCGUGCAGGAUGAAGGCCCUCGGGUCGUAAACUGCUUUUAUGAGUGAAGAAUAUGACGGUAACUCAUGGAUAAGCACCGGCUAACUACGUGCCAGCAGCCGC
rnacentral:rRNA from 1 species